ensembl:snoRNA SNORD18 Small nucleolar RNA SNORD18
UCAAAAUGAUGAAAUUCCACUUUUGGUCCGUGUUUCUGAAACACAUGAUAUUUAGUGGAAAUUCUGAAUAG